AAUUGUUCGCAAUGGGCGCAAGCCUGACGACGCAACGCCGCGUGGAGGAUGAAGAUCUUCGGGUCGUAAACUCCUUUCGAUCGAGACGAACGACUUCCGGGUGAACAACCCGGGAGAGUGACGGUACCGAGAGAAGAAGCCCCGGCUAACUCCGUGCCAGCAGCCGCGGUAGUACGGGGGGGGCAAGCGUUGUUCGGAAUUACUGGGCGUAAAGGGCUCGUAGGCGGCCAACUAAGUCAGACGUGAAAUCCCUCGGCUUAACCGGGGAACUGCGUCUGAUACUGGAUGGCUCGAGUGUGGGAGAGGGAUGCGGAAUUCCAGGUGUAGCGGUGAAAUGCGUAGAUAUCUGGAGGAACACCGGUGGCGAAGGCGGCAUCCUGGACCACGACUGACGCUGAGUGAGCGAAAGCCAGGGGAGCAAAC
rnacentral:rRNA from 1 species